CUCGCGAGUAAAACCGAACCCCCACUGUACAGGUUUUAUUGUGUUUUCAAAAGUUACAGAGUCAAAUAUAGGGCUUGCAUUUUCUUUUUUCCACAUUGAAAUUUGCCAGAUUGGUAAUGUUGCCUUUGAGACCGUAUGGUAGUCCAGGAAUAAGAAUUACCCCCAUGAUGGCAUUCCAUCUGCAAGAGAAGACAACCCAAGGUAUUGCAAAUGGGGUAUAUGUCCAGUAUUUUUUAGUAGCCACUUAGUCACAAACACAAACAUAUUGAAUUCCCUGGGUUGUCUACUUUAAAAAAAAUAUGUACAUGUGAGGUGUGAUUCAGAGAUUUAUGACAGAUAAUAUUGUUACAAUGUCA